AGCCGCGGUAACACCGGCGGCCCGAGUGGUGAUCGUGAUUAUGGGUCUAAAGGGUCCGUAGCCGGUUUGGUCAGUCCUCCGGGAAAUCUGAUAGCUCAACUAUUAGGCUUUCGGGGGAUACUGCCAGACUUGGAACUGGGAGAGGUAAGAGGUACUACAGGGGUAGGAGUGAAAUCUUGUAAUCCCUGUGGGACCACCUGUGGCGAAGGCGUCUUACCAGAACGGGUUCGACGGUGAGGGACGAAAGCUGGGGGCACGAACCGGAUUAGAUACCCGGGUAGUCCCAGCCGUAAACGAUGCUCGCUAGGUGUCAGGCAUGGCGCGACCGUGUCUGGUGCCGCAGGGAAGCCGUGAAGCGAGCCACCUGGGAAGUACGGCCGCAAGGCUGAAACUUAAAGGAAUUGGCGGGGGAGCACAACAACGGGUGGAGCCCUGCGGUUUAAUUGGACUCAACGCCGGACAACUCACCGGGGGCGACAGCAAUAUGUAGGCCAAGCUGAAGACUUUGCCUGAAUCGCUGAGAGGUGGUGCAUGG
rnacentral:rRNA from 1 species